rnacentral:rRNA from 1 species
UACAGAGGGUGCGAGCGUUAAUCGGAAUUACUGGGCGUAAAGCGUGCGCAGACGGUCACGUAAGUCGGGUGUGAAAGCCCCGGGCUCAACCUGGGAAUUGCAUUCGAGACUGCGUGGCUAGGGUGCGGAAGAGGGAAGCGGAAUUUCCGGUGUAGCGGUGAAAUGCGUAGAUAUCGGAAGGAACACCAGUGGCGAAAGCGGCUUCCUGGUCCAG